rnacentral:ncRNA from 1 species
UUAAAGUUUUAUUUUAGCUUAAAUAUUAACUUUUAUUUUAUAAUAAUAUAUAAAUUUUUGUAAUAAAUAAAUAUUUUUAAAUAAAAUAUAUUUUAAUAGUAGUAUUUAUAUUUAAUUAUAAAGUAAUUUUUGAAUUAGUAAAAAUAAUAAAUUAAACAAAUUUUGUGCCAGCAGUUGCGGUUAUACAAAUUAAUUAAGUUAAUAAUUUUAAUUUGAAUAUAAUGUUUAUUUUAUAAUAAAAUUAAAUUUUUAAAGUGAAAUUUUAAAUUUAAAUAUUAUAUAUAUAUUUAUUUUAAGUUCAUAAAAUUAAAUUAGAAACUAGGAUUAGAUACCCUAUUAUUUUAAAAUUAAUAUUAAAAAUUAGAGAAGUAUUAGAAAAAUCUUGAAAUUUAAAAAUUUUGGCGGUAUUUUAAUCUAUUCAGAGGAACCUGUUCUGUAAUUGAUAGUCCACGAUUAUUUAUACUUAUGUUUUUAAUUUACAUAUCAUUGUAGUUUGAAUAUUUUAAAAGAAUUAAUAUUCAAUUUAUUUAAAAUAAUAAAAAAUCAAAUCAAGGUGUAGUUUAUAUGUAAGAAGAAAUGGGUUACAAUAAAUUUAUUUAUGAAUAAUUUUUUAAAAAAAAAUUUAAAAUUGGAUUUGAAAGUAAUUUUAAAUAUUUAUUUAUAAUGAUUAAGUUUUAAAAUAUGUACAUAUCGCCCGUCAUUUUCAUUUUAUUUGAAACAAGUCGUAACAAAGUAGAAUUAUCGGAAGAUGAUUCUAGAAUUCA